AUUGAACGCUGGCGGCAGGCCUAACACAUGCAAGUCGAGCGGUAGCACAGAGAGCUUGCUCUCGGUGACGAGCGGCGGACGGGUGAGUAAUGUCUGGGAAACUGCCUGAUGGAGGGGGAUAACUACUGGAAACGGUAGCUAAUACCGCAUAACGUCGCAAGACCAAAGUGGGGGACCUUCGGGCCUCAUGCCAUCAGAUGUGCCCAGAUGGGAUUAGCUAGUAGGUGGGGUAACGGCUCACCUAGGCGACGAUCCCUAGCUGGUCUGAGAGGAUGACCAGCCACACUGGAACUGAGACACGGUCCAGACUCCUACGGGAGGCAGCAGUGGGGAAUAUUGCACAAUGGGCGCAAGCCUGAUGCAGCCAUGCCGCGUGUGUGAAGAAGGCCUUCGGGUUGUAAAGCACUUUCAGCGGGGAGGAAGGCGUUAAGGUUAAUAACCUUGGCGAUUGACGUUACCCGCAGAAGAAGCACCGGCUAACUCCGUGCCAGCAGCCGCGGUAAUACGGAGGGUGCAAGCGUUAAUCGGAAUUACUGGGCGUAAAGCGCACGCAGGCGGUCUGUCAAGUCGGAUGUGAAAUCCCCGGGCUCAACCUGGGAACUGCAUUCGAAACUGGCAGGCUAGAGUCUUGUAGAGGGGGGUAGAAUUCCAGGUGUAGCGGUGAAAUGCGUAGAGAUCUGGAGGAAUACCGGUGGCGAAGGCGGCCCCCUGGACAAAGACUGACGCUCAGGUGCGAAAGCGUGGGGAGCAAACAGGAUUAGAUACCCUGGUAGUCCACGCCGUAAACGAUGUCGAUUUGGAGGUUGUGCCCUUGAGGCGUGGCUUCCGGAGCUAACGCGUUAAAUCGACCGCCUGGGGAGUACGGCCGCAAGGUUAAAACUCAAAUGAAUUGACGGGGGCCCGCACAAGCGGUGGAGCAUGUGGUUUAAUUCGAUGCAACGCGAAGAACCUUACCUGUCUUGACAUCCACAGAACUUAGCAGAGAUGCUUUGGUGCCUUCGGGAACUGUGAGACAGGUGCUGCAUGGCUGUCGUCAGCUCGUGUUGUGAAAUGUUGGGUUAAGUCCCGCAACGAGCGCAACCCUUAUCCUUUGUUGCCAGCGGUUAGGCCGGGAACUCAAAGGAGACUGCCAGUGAUAAACUGGAGGAAGGUGGGGAUGACGUCAAGUCAUCAUGGCCCUUACGACCAGGGCUACACACGUGCUACAAUGGCAUAUACAAAGAGAAGCGACCUCGCGAGAGCAAGCGGACCUCAUAAAGUAUGUCGUAGUCCGGAUUGGAGUCUGCAACUCGACUCCAUGAAGUCGGAAUCGCUAGUAAUCGUAGAUCAGAAUGCUACGGUGAAUACGUUCCCGGGCCUUGUACACACCGCCCGUCACACCAUGGGAGUGGGUUGCAAAAGAAGUAGGUAGCUUAACCUUCGGGAGGGCGCUUACCACUUUGUGAUUCAUGACUGGGGUG
rnacentral:rRNA from 1 species